UGCCUAACACAUGCAAGUCGUACGAGUAGUUUUUAACUCUAGUGGCGGACGGGUGAGUAACACGUGAGAAUUUGCCUUUAGGAGGGGGAUAACAAUUGGAAACGAAUGCUAAUACCCCAUAUGCUUUCGAGUGAAAUGGAUUUAUAUUUAUCCGCCUAGAGAGAAGCUCGCGGCUGAUUAGCUUGUUGGUAAGGUAAGAGCUUACCAAGGCGACGAUCAGUAUCUGGUUUGAGAGGACGAUCAGACACACUGGAACUGAGACACGGUCCAGACUCCUACGGGAGGCAGCAGUGGGGAAUUUUCCGCAAUGGGCGAAAGCCUGACGGAGCAAUACCGCGUGAGGGAAGACUGCCUAUGGGUUGUAAACCUCUUUUUUCAGGGAGGAAUAAAAUGACGUGUACCUGAAGAAUAAGCAUCGGCUAACUCCGUGCCAGCAGCCGCGGUAAGACGGAGGAUGCAAGUGUUAUCCGGAAUCACUGGGCGUAAAGCGUCUGUAGGUGGUUUAAUAAGUCAACUGUUAAAUCUUGAGGCUCAACUUCAAAGUCGCAGUCGAAACUAUUAGACUAGAGUAUAGUAGAGGUAAAGGGAAUUUCCAGUGGAGCGGUGAAAUGCGUAGAUAUUGGAAAGAACACCGAUGGCGAAAGCACUUUACUGGGCUAUUACUAACACUCAGAGACGAAAGCUAGGGUAGCAAAUGGGAUUAGAUACCCCAGUAGUC
rnacentral:rRNA from 1 species